ensembl:snoRNA
UGUCUCUGACCUGGUUAAAGUGGCAUCUGGUUGGUGGCACUUAUCUCAAAUCACACAGACAUAAGGCAACCUCUUGUCUAUCCCAGCUUGGCUUUUUUUUUUUUUUUUUUUUUUGACAGGGUCUCACUCUGUCACCCAGGCUACAGUGCCUUAGUACGAUCA